AACUGCCGACUCAAUACCAAUUGA
rnacentral:siRNA from 1 species